rnacentral:pre_miRNA from 1 species
AAUUUCAGCUGAAAAAGUCAUGAAACAUAAAAGUUGUAGAACUCAUCAAGAUAUAAAACUUUUAUUUUGAUUAUUUCUUCAUCCGAUAAAGUGAUAAUAACAUUGUUCACAAAAUUUACAUAUCUCUCCUAUAGUUUAUAAAACCAUAUGAGAGAUAUGUAAAAUCCAUAAACAAUAUUACUAUCACUUUAUCGGAUGAAGAAAUGACCAAAAUAAAAGUUAUAGAUCCUGAUGAGUUAUACAAAUUUGUUGUGGAUGACUUUUUCAGUUGAAAUC